rnacentral:tRNA from 1 species
UCCCUGGUGGGCUAGUGGUUAGUUUGCAGUGCUCUUACUGCUGUGGCCUGGGUUUGAGUCCCGGGCAGGGAA